UGACAGUGAUAACAAACACUAUCAUGUUACCUGUGUCGAAGAGUUUCAUCACAUUAUUACUGGUCUUCAGUGUGUUCGUCCCUUCACUAUUAGCAGACGACUCUUCCUCUCAAGACGACUCCUCUUCUCAAGACGACCAGGGUGGUCUUAACGUCCUCGAGAUCUUGACCAACGUCCUCUUUCUGCUUCCCAAGAUCUUGACAUCAUUUAUGAAGCCAAUACUUGAUAUCGUCUCUCUAAAUGUGUUUUAAAAUACAACGUAAGUUUUAAAUU